AACCCAGGCCUGGUCCUCUCUCGUCCUUCACUGUUGUCACUCCUCUUUUGUAUCCUUCCGAUCUCCUCCGUGGGACUCGAAACUGGUGAGAGGAGCAGGUGUCGCUCAUUUCCCAAUCACUCCACCGGCCUCGCUCUGUUCCCAUGGCUCUCGGCCCCCGCCCCACUCGUCACAACAUGGACCAACAAAACAGAGUGGGCUUUAAAAGUCUGUUUCGACCUCACAGAUUGGAGUGUUUUUGAAGCUGCUACCACCAAUCUGGACGAACUCACAGAGACUGUAACAUCCUAUAUUAGUUUUUGUGAGGAUAUAUGCAUUCCUACCAGGACUUAUUUAACAUUCAACAAUGAUAAGCCAUGGUUUACAGCAAAACUCAGAUAUCUUCGUCAGGCCAAAGAGGAUGCCUACAUAAAUGGGGACAGAGUCUUGUACAGUCAGGCCAGAAUCACACUGAAUAAAGAGAUUAGAGUGGCUAAAAGGACCUACGCUAAAAAGUUGGAAGAUCAGUUCACUUCCAAUGACUCAACUUCAGUGUGGAAAGGUUUGAGAGCCAUCACAAACUACAAGACACCAUCCCCCUGCACUGAGGCAAAUCAACAACUUGCUGACAACCUGAAUGAGUUUUAUUGUAGAUUUGUAACCCCCCACACCUGUUCUGACCAUCUGUCUACACAACCGUUAACACCUCCUGCAGUCCCCCUCUCCCCACCUCCUGCCCUUCAAAUCAGUGAGGACAAUGUGCGCCAAGUCUUCAGGAAGAACAAAAGAAGAAAGGCACCAGGCCUAGAUGGCUUUACACCAGCCUGUCUGAAAACCUGUGCUGACCAGCUGGCCCCCAUCUUUUCACAGAUCUUCAACAGAUUUCUGGAGUUGUGUGAAGUCCCUUCCAGCUUCAAACACUCCACCAUCAUCCCCGUUCGAAAGAAACCCAAGAUAACAGGACUUAAUGACUACAGACCUGUGGCUCUAAUGUCUAAUGUCUGUUGUCAUGAAGUUGUUUGA
ensembl:lncRNA